GACGAACGCUGGCGGCGUGCUUAACACAUGCAAGUCGAACGGAAAGGCCCCAGCUUUCUGGGGUACUCGAGUGGCGAACGGGUGAGUAACACGUGGGUGAUCUGCCCUGCACUCUGGGAUAAGCCUGGGAAACUGGGUCUAAUACCGGAUAGGACCGUCCGUUAGUGUGUGCGGGUGAGAGUUUUUCGGUGGGGGAUGAGCCCGCGGCCUAUCAGCUUGUUGGUGGGGUAGUGGCCUACCAAGGCGGCGACGGGUAGCCGGCCUGAGAGGGUGUACGGCCACAUUGGGACUGAGACACGGCCCAGACUCCUACGGGAGGCAGCAGUGGGGAAUAUUGCACAAUGGGCGCAAGCCUGAUGCAGCGACGCCGCGUGGGGGAUGACGGCCUUCGGGUUGUAAACCCCUUUCGGCAGGGACGAAGCUUUUGUGACGGUACCUGCAUAAGAAGCACCGGCUAACUACGUG
rnacentral:rRNA from 1 species